AUGUUUUUUAAUAGCAGAUGUCUUUGUGACUUGGCUAAACAUUUAUUCAUUGCGGAAUGUAAUAGAGAAUACAAUUUACCCGCAAAAAAAAGAGAAUACAAUUUAGAUUUUUUGGCUAUCUCUGAAACGGGGAGACGUGAUUUCUCAGUAAGUCUGCUUAUCCGUCUUUCUGGCGGAUUGGACUUUACUUGGGUUGCACGACCGCCUAGAGGUCGUUCUGGGGGCAUUUUACUUGGCAUAAAUACAGGGACUAUGGAUGUUUUGGCUAGUUCGGAUGGUGAGUUUCACGUUAAACUUCAUAUACGCAACAAGGCCAACAACUUCACAUGGACCCUCGUCACCGUGUAUGGAGCAGCCAAGGAUGAGUUGAAGGCCGAUUUUCUACAUGAAUUGGUUAAUCUGGCAAAAGGUAAUCCAUAUCCCAUUCUUAUGGGUGGGGAUUUUAAUUUGCUUCGAUUUCCAAAUGAGAAAAGCCGUGGUAGGUUUGAUAAUCAUUGGUCUUUCCUUUUCAAUGCUGUCAUCGACAGUCUAGAUCUGCGAGAGGUUUCCAUGAUUGGAAGACAAUUCACUUGGGCGAACAGUUUUCCAGAACCAACAUAUGAGAAACUAGAUCGUGUCUUAAUGGAUACCGACUGGGAAUCUAAAUUUCCUAUGGUGUUUGUUCGUGUUCUACCUCGUAUCGAGGCUAUAUCAGACCACACUCCCAUUCUCCUAACUACUGGCUUGCCACGACCACAACAUAGACGCAAGUUCAAGUUUGAACUUGGA
rnacentral:rRNA from 1 species